GACGAACGCUGGCGGCGUGCUUAACACAUGCAAGUCGAACGCUGAAGCUCAGCUUUUGUUGGGUGGAUGAGUGGCGAACGGGUGAGUAACACGUGAGUAACCUGCCUCCUUCUUUGGGAUAACGCCCGGAAACGGGUGCUAAUACUGGAUAUUCACUGGUCUUCGCAUGGGGGUUGGUGGAAAGGGUUUUUCUGGUGGGGGAUGGGCUCGCGGCCUAUCAGGUUGUUGGUGGGGUGAUGGCCGACCAAGGCUUUGACGGGUAGCCGGCCUGAGAGGGUGACCGGUCACAUUGGGACUGAGAUACGGCCCAGACUCCGACGGGAGGCAGCAGUGGGGAAAAUUGCGCAAUGUGCGCAAGCCUGAUGCAGCGACGCCGCGGGAGGGAUGGAGGCCUUCGGGUUGUGAACCUCUUUCGCUCAUGGUCAAGCCGCAACAAUGGUUGUGGUGAGGGUAGUGGGUAAAGAAGCGCCGGCUAACUACGUG
rnacentral:rRNA from 1 species